AAUAGAAUUGCCAGGUCAUAUGGUAAGUGAAUUUUAAUUUUAUUAAAAAAAUGUCAAAGUAUUUCCACAGUGGCUGAACCAUUUUGUAUCCCCACUAGCAAC
rnacentral:pre_miRNA from 1 species